rnacentral:rRNA from 1 species
CCUACGUGGUGCAGCAGUGAGGAAUAUUGGUCAAUGGGCGCUAGCCUGAACCAGCCAAGUAGCGUGAAGGAUGACUGCCCUAUGGGUUGUAAACUUCUUUUCUAUGGGACUAAAGUGCAGUAUGUAUACUGCUUUGCAUGUACCUUAUGAAUAAGGAUCGGCUACCUCCGUGCCAGCAGCCGCGGUAAUACGGAGGAUCCGAGCGUUAUCCGGAUUUAUUGGGUUUAAAGGGAGCGUAGACGGGUUGUUAAGUCAGUUGUGAAAGUUUGCGGCUCAACCGUAAAAUUGCAGUUGAUACUGGCAGCCUUGAGUACAGUAGAGGUAGGCGGAAUUCGUGGUGUAGCGGUGAAAUGCUUAGAUAUCACGAAGAACUCCGAUUGCGAAGGCAGCCUGCUGGACUGUAACUGACGCUGAAGCACGAAAGCGUGGGUAUCGAACAGGAUUAGAUACCCCUGUAGUC